rnacentral:lncRNA from 1 species
CCAUGACUGGCGCUCAGGAAAAUAAUCCUAUAGCAAGCCUAACAUAGUCAAAUAUAAGUUCAAUAAGCAAGUACAAAUAUUUUACAAGUUCUAAAAUAAAUAGUUAUAUAUUUUUAACAAAAAAUUAAAAUAACUAAGAAUGGUUGGUCCUGCCUGUGACAUAUGGAGCAUAUACUUCUAGGAAUUCGACAAAGAAUAGGUACUCAUUGCAGACCGUUACUCUUGAAUAGAAAGUCUCACACAGUCAAAUAUUUGUUCCUGAAAAAUAUUUUUAGAAAAAUGGGGUGAGUUUUGCAACUCAGUGACCAGACAAUACAUCUAUAAUCAACAUGAGACUAUACAAACAUUAUCAUUAAAGUAAUUUUAAUUAGAAAAUAAUAGUUGAUAAUAAUAAGUGAAUCAAUAAGGGAGCUCUCAUACAGAAAUCAAAUCAAAAGUCCACACUUGGGCGGCUCCACCUCUAUGGGUAGCCCUUUCCUCUUGUGUGUCCUAACAGAAUAACAGAUCUAACGUGUGGCCUACACGUUAGGCUAGCAACACCCCUGCUAGCUGGAGUCUGAGUUAGAUGCAUCUAAGUUAACGUCAUAACCGACGUUAACUACGGUUUUCUAAUACGAGCCUCCCAAACCAAUUCAAAACAUAUAAUUUCAAAUACAACAAAUAUUUGAUCUUUCAAAUAUAUAAGGUAUCGAAUCGAAUCGAAUCAAAUCAAAUUAAAUCAUACUUUUUCAUCAGAAAUCUUUUCUCAAUCAUACUUUUUCAACCAUAAGAGAUUUCAAAUAUAUUUCACAAUUUUUAGAGUGAGUAUCAACAAAUACUUCAAUGCUUCAAAAACAAAUAUUCAAAUAAAAUCAAACAUUUUAGAAUAAUGCAAAACUUCAUCAAAAAUAUAUAUAGUCUCAUGUAUAGUUUCCAAAAGUAUAAACUUCAUAAAAAUGAGUUAUUUAAUUCUAAUAAAUCAAUUAUUUUAAUCAAUUCAAAACUGUUCAAAGCAAAUAUAGCUAUAAUUCAAAGAUCAUAAUAUAUAUAUAUCAAAAUAAUUGUAGAUGCACAAUCAAACAAUCAUAAAUGUAAAGCCUACUCACAACGUAGUCCCUAGGGACCGAAGAUACCAAACCCAGAGUGCCAAAUUCAAGGUAAGGAGGAUUGAAGUGGAAUGGAACGAAUGAGCAUAGAAUUUGAACCGGAGUAGCGACAAGAUAGAGCUGGCUAUAGUUCUCGAUUGUUAAAACUAUAAUCCAAACGCGCCGACGGAACCUUUCCUCUCAACCCGAAAUUGCGGCAGCCACAACCUCAGCUCCAAAUCACUUUCUCAGCAACUACAACGACUCGGACUUAAGGAAAACAAGUAGCGGCAGCACCGGUGGUGGUUCCGGCAACAACAGCACCAUACCCAUUGACUAGAAACCCCGACAGCGGCGGCGGCAGAAGAACGGUGACCUCAAUGUGACUUUCCAGCGGCCAGAGGUGCAGUGGCUCUUGCGGCAGCAGCGAGCCACUCCAGCAACCCCUUGUGCAAGCUCUCUUCCUCCGGCAGCGACCUAGACGGCGACGACUCUCCACGGACGGCGGCGGGCCUUCGGCGGCGGUGCAGCUCCAGUGACGACGGUGCAUGGCGGGACAGCGUUCCUCUCUUCCUCGAGCUCUCCCUCUCACUGGCGCUCAAGGACGACGGCGAGGGUGGCUUCAAUGGCGGCGGUUGCAGCUCGCGACGACAGAGACACUCCUCCGCGACGGCGCAGUUGGCAACGAUGGGCAUGAACGGCAGCAGCGACCUCCCUCUCUUCUCCGCAUC